rnacentral:rRNA from 1 species
GACGAACGCUGGCGGCGUGCUUAACACAUGCAAGUCGAACGGAAAGGCCCUGCUUUUGUGGGGUGCUCGAGUGGCGAACGGGUGAGUAACACGUGAGUAACCUGCCCUUGACUUUGGGAUAACUUCAGGAAACUGGGGCUAAUACCGGAUAGGAGCUCCUGCUGCAUGGUGGGGGUUGGAAAGUUUCGGCGGUUGGGGAUGGACUCGCGGCUUAUCAGCUUGUUGGGGGGGUAGUGGCUUACCAAGGCUGUGACGGGUAGCCGGCCUGAGAGGGUGACCGGCCACAUUGGGACUGAGAUACGGCCCAGACUCCUACGGGAGGCAGCAGUGGGGAAUAUUGCACAAUGGGCGGAAGCCUGAUGCAGCAACGCCGCGUGCGGGAUGACGGCCUUCGGGUUGUAAACCGCUUUCGCCUGUGACGAAGCGUGAGUGACGGUAAUGGGUAAAGAAGCACCGGCUAACUACGUG